UACGGAGGGUGCGAGCGUUGUCCGGAAUUACUGGGCGUAAAGAGCUCGUAGGUGGUUUGUCGCGUUGUUCGUGAAAACUCACAGCUCAACUGUGGGCGUGCGGGCGAUACGGGCAGACUGGAGUACUGCAGGGGAGACUGGAAUUCCUGGUGUAGCGGUGGAAUGCGCAGAUAUCAGGAGGAACACCGAUGGCGAAGGCAGGUCACUGGGCCGCAACUGACGCUGAGGAGCGAAAGCAUGGGGAGCGAACAGG
rnacentral:rRNA from 1 species